CACGAUGCAGUUACAACACUCGCCUGCCACCUAUUUAAUGGCUGGGGAUUUCAUUUCCUUCUAACCUUUUCUUUUGGGGAUUUCUUCCCCAGUUCCCUUUAGCUUCUAUUGACUUAUUUGUUUCUUUAUUAUUAUUACCAUUUUGUAUUUAUUUUCUUUAUGGCUUCAGGGAGGAGCUGCAGCACUCUGAGGGGCUGAUGGGGCUCAGCUGUGCUCCUGGCUCUCCCAUUCUGCUCCAGGAACCAAUUUCUCCUUCCUCACUGUGCUUUAACUUCAGCUGAGCUCUCAUAAAGUUCUCUUUUAAAGCCUGUGUUUGAGCAUAGAAAAGAGAAGCACUUCUUGCAACAUGCCUCAAGAUGCUGGAGGAGGAUGCUCCCCUUGGCUUCAGUCUGGGAGUCAGGAGCAGGCUGGGUACCCAGAUCCUUGCAAGGAGGGGCUCCAAGCAUUCCACUGCUGCUGAGGUGCCCAGAAAUGAAUCAAGUCCCCAGUGACCUCAGCCCAAGGAGGAGGUUGACAAAGAAAAGUUUAACAGAGAAAACCCUGUUUAUGGGACAAUCCCUCCAGCCACCUUCUUCAGCAUGGAGUUGGAAAUUGGGUGUUCGUGCUACUCCUGGGACCUGUCCAGCAAAAAGCAGAACUGAUGUCUCACAGAGCAGUGCUAGGAUGAGCUUGCAAGUGAGGAUGGAGAGAAGAUGCUUCCUUUUGCAGUAAUUCUCCACCAGUGGAUAAAGCACAUCUGGCAUGCUCUCUGGGAGGAAGAAUCCUCAUGCCACAAAUAAGAAAUGCCUAUAUCUGCAUAAGAUCAGGUUGGUGGGACCAGCAAAUAAGGAAUAGGCACACCUUACCCUACGUUCUAAAAUUCAUCUGUAUCUGGUAAUAUUUCUGAUGUUAUCUGCAUGAAGGAUUCUUCUUUGUUUGAUUUGAAUCUUUUCUUUUUGGCUACUGAAACCAUACUGUGGCAUGCAGGUUAAAUCUGCUGUUUAGUCUGGAGGUUGUGCUCUCCUGCCUCACAGAGUUACACUUGAAGGCUUUUCGUGUGGAGGUUCAAUUGAACUCUUCAGUUCAUCCCACCCCAGACUUGUUCCUUGGCUCUGAUAUCAGUAACAAAUAAUAACUAUCUAUUUUUGCAUACAUUAGAAGUCUGAUGCCUGUACUAAGGAAGUGGUUACAGCUCCUCUUCCACCUACUCUGGAAAGAUUCCUAGUAAUGAAUACUUUUCCAUGUAUGAAUGUCUUUAUUUUCUUUUUCUUGGCUUCUUCCCAGAUUCUUU
ensembl:lncRNA